rnacentral:lncRNA from 1 species
CUCCUCUUCUUCUUCAUCAACGAUGUUGACUUCUGCUUCUGCUUCUGGGUCGAUGUCAUCUGAGCAUUGCGAACCAAAUUCACCAGAUUCAUCCUGACUGGUUAUUUGAGAUUGCUGAGAUGGUAUACAUGGUUGAAGAGUAAUAUAUAACUCAAUACAAUUGCAGCCUGAAUGUUCAUGACUAACAAACAUGUACUCAAAAUCUU